GACGAACGCUGGCGGCGUGCUUAACACAUGCAAGUCGAACGGAAAGGCCCUGCUUUUGUGGGGUGCUCGAGUGGCGAACGGGUGAGUAACACGUGAGUAACCUGCCCUUGACUUUGGGAUAACUUCAGGAAACUGGGGCUACUACCGGAUAGGAGCUCCUGCUGCAUGGUGGGGGUUGGAAAGUUUCGGCGGUUGGGGCUGGACUCGCGGCUUAUCAGCUUGUUGGUGGGGUAGUGGCUUACCAAGGCUUUGACGGGUAGCCGGCCUGAGAGGGGGACCAGCGACAAUGGGACUGAGGUAGGGACCAGACGCGUACGGGGGGCAGCAGGGGCGAGUAUUACCCAAUGGGCGGGAGCGUGAUGCAGCAACGCCGCGUGCGGGAUGACGGCCUGCGGGUUGUGAACCGCUUUCGCCUGUGACGAAGCGUGAGUGACGGUAAUGGGUAAAGAAGCACCGGCUAACUACGUG
rnacentral:rRNA from 1 species